GCUGGACUGCCAGGGAAGUCCCACUUAAGGUUUUUUAAUGUUUAUUUCAGAAUCCAGAGGUGCUGAUUCAGUGUCAUGUCCAAGUAUAUUUCCUCAGGAAGUUGAUGAGGUUAAAGUGCAGAAUGACUGUAGGAAAUGUUAGAAAGCUGGAUCUGGUUUGGGGAAAUCUGUAGCCAGAGAUCCAUCUCCUUCUGCUGAAGUCUUGUAUGAGGAUCAUUCCUUGGCUAAAAUGUUAUUGAGAUGUUCCACAGAUCUUCCUUGCCAGAAAGAAGCAAGAAAAUGCAGCAAACGUGCAGAGAAGCAGCACCAAGACCAUGUGGCUCCUUGAGAAAUUGAAUCCUGUGCUUCCAGAUUUUCCCAUCUUUAUCUGCAGGGUUGCCACUCGUCCAAGCAAGAGGGACUCCUGCCAUGAACCCUUUAAAGCACGUGGGCUCCACAGAUCACAAACUCAUGAGAAAAGUCUCUGUCCAAGAGAUUUUCCAGGCAAGAAUACUAAAGUGGGUGGCCACUUCCUUCUCCAAGUGAUCUUCCCUACCCAGGGAUCAAACCGAGGUCUCUGUAUUGCAGGCAGAUUCUUUACCAUCUGAGCCACCAGGGAAGCUCCAUAACUCGAGUGGUUGUCUAAUUUAGUAUUACCAUUGAUAAAAUGCAAAUUAAGUGAACAUUUUGAUUAUAACAAUAGAAUCAGCAAUUUUGCUGAAAUGAGAGUAAUAAUUAAUCUUGUGGAACAUAUUAUUUAUAGCUUCUAUAUACCUUUAUUUUAUUAGUCAUCCAAAAUCUGCUUAUCAGCAGAACACCUAGAUAUGUAUAAUGAUAAAUUUAUUUAUCUAUGGUAUUUUGCAAUUUGGUAUCUUGACUUAUCCCUUUUAAAUAUUUAGUCAUGUGGUAGGUAAGUAGCCCCUGUACUCUUAUGCCAUGUACUACAGACAUUGAGGGUAGGUCCAUUUCUGGGACGUGCUUUUACUUUUUUCUGGUUGAAAUUUCUGACGUUAUUUCUGUGAGAUCUCUAUUGUAUCCUUUUAACAAUACCCCCAUUGACUUGAGCUAAUUUGAGGGGAUUUCACUUCUUUGCACUAAAGAAUUUUACCUAAGACAAUCACAGAGGCAAAUAUCAUUUCCUUCCAGUAGUCAUGUAUGAAUGUGAGAGUUGGACUGUGAAGAAAGCUGAACGCCAAAGAACUGAUGCUUUUGAACUGUGGUGUUGGAGAAGACUCUUGAGAGUCCCUUGGACUG